CCUACGGGUGGCAGCAGUGAGGAAUAUUGGUCAAUGGGCGGGACCCUGAACCAGCCAAGUCGCAUGAGGGAUGAAGGCCCUAUGGUUUGUAAACCUCUUUUGCCGGGGAGCAUAGUGCCGCACGUGUGCGGUUUGGAGAGUACCCGGAGAUAAAGCAUGCGCUAACUCCGUGCCAGCAGCCGCGGUAAUACGGAGGAUGCGAGCGUUAUCCGGAUGUAUUGGGUGUAAAGGGUGCGUAGGCGGACGAUUACGUCAGCGGUAAAAUUGCGGGGCUCAACCUCGUCGAGCCGUUGAAACUGGGUGCCUUGAGUGGGCGAGAAGUACGCGGAAUGCGUGGUGUAGCGGUGAAAUGCAUAGAUAUCACGCAGAACUCUGAUUGCGAAGGCAGCGUACCGGCGCCCAACUGACGCUGAAGCACGAAGGCGUGGGUAUCGAACAGGAUUAGAUACCCCAGUAGUC
rnacentral:rRNA from 1 species